rnacentral:rRNA from 1 species
UACGUAGGGUGCGAGCGUUAAUCGGAAUUACUGGGCGUAAAGCGUGCGCAGGCGGUUUUGUAAGUCUGUCGUGAAAGCCCCGGGCUCAACCUGGGAAUUGCGAUGGAGACUGCAAGGCUUGAAUCUGGCAGAGGGGGGUAGAAUUCCACGUGUAGCAGUGAAAUGCGUAGAGAUGUGGAGGAACACCGAUGGCGAAGGCAGCCCCCCUGGGUCAAGAUUGACGCUCAUGCACGAAAGCGUGGGGAGCAAACAGG